rnacentral:rRNA from 1 species
GCUAGGUUGUAUUAUUAGUUAAUGCAAGAUCGACUACGGGGUUCUAGGUAGAAUAAUGAUGAUGACAAUUUUUUAGUCUUGACCAAGUCUCGUGCCAGCAGUCGCGGUAAUACGUGGAAGACUAGUGUUAUUCAUCUUUAUUAGGUUUAAAGGGUACCUAGACGGUAUUUCUAGCCCAAAAUAGGGUACGGAUUUACUAGAGUUUUAUGUGAGGAGGGGAGUACUCGUGGAGUAGAGAUGAAAUUUUGUUAUACUAUGAGGUAACUGGUGGCGGCGAAAGCAACCUUCUAUGUAUAAACUGACGUUGAGGGACGAAGGCUUGGGUAGCAAAUAGGAUUAGAUACCCUAGUAGUCCAAGCAGACAAUUCUGAAUGCCAUAGAUUAGAUUAUUUUUGGUCUAUAAAUGAAAGUGUAAGCAUUCCACCUUAGGAGUAAUGUGGCAACACAGGAACUGAAAUCAUUAGACCGUUUCUGAAACCAGUAGUGAAGUAUGUUAUUUAAAUAGAUGGUCCACAAAAAACCUUACCACAACUUGAAUAAUUUAUAGCUCAUACAAGCGUUGCACGGCUGUCUUCAGUUAAUGUCGUGAGAUUAGGUUAACUCCAUUAAUUAACGUAAACCCUUACUUUAUUUUUUUUUAUAAAGUAGAUCGCCUUUAUA